UACAGAGGGUGCAAGCGUUAAUCGGAAUUACUGGGCGUAAAGCGUGCGCAGACGGUUGCGUAAGUCAGAUGUGAAAGCCCCGGGCUCAACCUGGGAAUUGCAUUUGAGACUGCGUAGCUAGGGUGCGGAAGAGGGAAGCGGAAUUUCCGGUGUAGCGGUGAAAUGCGUAGAUAUCGGAAGGAACACCAGUGGCGAAAGCGGCUUCCUGGUCCAGCACCGACGUUCAGGCACGAAAGCGUGGGGAGCAAACGGG
rnacentral:rRNA from 1 species